rnacentral:misc_RNA from 1 species
GAUUUUUAUGCUGACAGUUUCAAGUGAUAAUGCUUGUGUUGUUUGAGUACCUUUAUGUUGAUGGAAUAUGUUUUAUGGAAUUGAAUUCUAGCUGAUGGGUGGCAAACCAGUUGUUGAAUGAACAUGUUGUAGUCUCCUAUUGGUGAUAAUUCAGAUUUCAAGGUUGACAUAACUAGUAAUUUUUAGAUUGCAGAUGGUUAUGUAAUUGCUAAUGUAAUUUUAUAAAAUCUUGAUUUCUUUCAGGUUGAGUUGGUUGAUCCACCUG